ensembl:lncRNA
CAGGAUCACCUCAGGACACGGCUUGGAGGGGAGGGAGACGGGGGCUGGACCCGGUGAGGACCGGGACGACGGCAGCUUUAUUGGUCCGAUCAAAUCAAAGGAAAGGAUGUUUGUCUGUGGUCCCGUCUCUAGGAGGGCAGAACACGAGGCUUUCCUCCCCAUCUAGACACUGAGGUAGUGGACCUGGAUGUUGUCUGCAGGCGUCCAUCACACACGCCUCUAUUUACACCUCAGGACCUCCUCUAGAGGGUCACUGGGGUCUCCCAGCAGGGUAAUGGCUCUAGAGGGUCACUGGGGUCUCCCAGCAGGGUAAUGGCUCCCAGCAGGGUAACCGCUCUCCCAGCCGGGUAACCGCUCUCCCAGUAGGGUAAUGGCUCCCAGCAGGGUAAUGGCUCCUGGGUUCUGCUCUGUCUGCCUCCUGGCUGCUCUUCAGUGGGACCACAGGGAGCGGGAGGUAGGCUGUGGAGGGGGCGUGGUGUCCAGCCGGCCACCCCUGAGCGGCUGGGCCUGUCCUGCCAGCAGGAGGGUGAAGGCAGUGGCCGGACUGUCCUCAGGUCAGGUGUGAGCGCUCCACAGGGCAGCCCGGCCGCGGUGUUCUGAGGUCUGGGUAGGAGUGCAGCACGCUGUUCAGUGUUCACAGGCACAGGGUACUCCUCUUGGUUUGGUUUUGGCCUUAUUGGCGUGUCUAGAUUUGUAGCUUUUGAAAACAUGAUUGAAGAUUCAUAUUCACAUAAUUUUUUUAUUAUUUGAUGCAUAUUUACUUGAGGCCAGAGGAAAUAUUAAUUUCCAGAAACGCUUUUUGGCAACAUUAUUGCUUUUAGGGGAAACCUGACAAUGAUAUUUGGGAGGCUAAGGAACAUCAUUUUAAAUGUUAUCUUGAUGGAUAUGCUUUUAACUUAAUGCUUAUUUAGCCAUGAGUAAGACGAGCACGAGGCUAAAGAGGUUGCCAAGUAUCAUGGUAUCGUUAACGAUGCAUAGAGUGCUCCGAUCGCUCCACUAGAUGCGUUCAGUGUUCUAGAUAUGUGUUCAGGGUUCUCUAGAUGUGUUCAGUGUUCUCUAGAUGUGUUCAGGGUUCUCUAGAUGUGUUCAGGGUUCUCUAGAUGUGUUCAGUGUUCCCUAGAUGUGUUC